UGCUGUGUCUUGCUCACCCUUCUUCACAUAGUUGGGCUGUCGCUCCUGGACCUUGCUUCUGAUGGGUAAGCUCCACUACCGAUUAAACCACUGAUGUCUCCAUCGCUGACUCUGGGCUCUUUCUUCAGUCUUGAGGUUGGACAAAUACAGAGCUUGCAGGCCUGCAGGGAGAAGCCCAACAGGAGGAUUGUCCAUCAUACAAACCAGCUUUGUAUACUUGUGAGCCUGUAAGCAUAAACAUUUUAAGUGUGGAGGACGAGCCUCUAAAGGAAGACUUGAGGGACUUCCAGCAAAAUAGAGCAGAAAAUCCUCACUCGCAGGAGCUAUUUAAAGUCUCUGGCCUUGCAUUGAAACUGCGGAUUUGGCAGGAGCAGGUUUCAGCUGGAUUUUCUG
ensembl:lncRNA